rnacentral:misc_RNA from 1 species
UGUUGUUGAGAAGAGAAGACCACCUCGAAGGCUCCGGAGAGUUCACUCCUUGCAGUGGUAAGAAAAUAUUUGCUCAAAAUGUGAUGGAAGACAGAUGUCCUUUGCUGACAUGGAGAGUAAAUGAAAAGCAGCAUUGUCAGUAAAAUUUCAUUUUUCUUUUAAAUUAGGUAUUUGAACCCAAUUGUUGUCUGAGAGCAGUCGUGGUUCCUGAUAUAAAAGGGGGGGAAAAAAAGAGGGGCGGUGGGGGGGGUGGGCAUUGCAACCUGAAUCAUGAAGGGAAAAUUCUUUUGUUUAACUGAAUUUAGGAAAUUUCUAUCAUGGGAAGAUGGAUGGCAAAAGAGUCUAGCUAUUUAUCUAGUUAGCAGGUAUAGCAAUCCAAACCUUUGUUACUCCCAAUUGCUACCGUAAAAGUGGAGGAAGAGGAAGGGAGGGGGUUGGUGCUGUGGGGCGCUGGUAUUGGGGUUGUGUGAUAGAAGGGAUUCUGGACUGGCAUAGUGUAUUUAUGUGUUGGCAACUUAUGAUAGCCCUGACAAAAUAUAGAUUGGUGGAUGGUAACUAUUUAUAGUAAAGCAUGCUCCGCAUUAUUUUCCUGGCAAAAAUUGAUCCAUGUUUCUGAUCACUGACAUGAACUGGAGCUGUCUUGUUGGGAAUCUCUCGUUCUUUGAGGCGUGUGGUGAUGGUGAUAUGAUGGAAGAAAUGGUCCUUUGGUAGGGCAUCCUAGAAAAGUUGCUGCUUGUAAUAGUUAGGGUAGUCUGCAAACUGCAUGCUCAAGACAUCUUGGAAAAAUGACACUGCACACAAUUAUUCCAAUAAGUGAAUUGAGUUGGGCUUUUCAUCGGCAGCUUUGAAUUCUAUAAAGGACGAGUAUAUACAGAAGCAUGCAAAAUUCCAUCAAUCAAUAUAACUCAUAAUUGGCUUUAUCCUCUCACUCUAAAUUUUUUAUUCAAAUAAACUAAACCCACAUUCCCAAUAAAAAAUUAUUGGGUAACUAUUAGCUUGAACAUUUUCCUGCCUUUUUGCUAUUGAAAUUUCUUCUUGUGUUUUUUAAAUUCAAAUAA